rnacentral:lncRNA from 1 species
AUGAGUCGGUGGGUGGUAGCUUUAGUUUAUUCUGUUUUAACAGUUGUUGUUAGGUGUGUGUUUGGAAAGUAGUUAAAAGUUAAAACCAAUCAACAAGUUUCUUGUUUUAAUCAAACAAAGAACACCACGAUAUCAACAACAAUUAUAAAUUAUUCAUCCAACGUUGUCACAUCAAUUGUAGUGAUCCAACGCUAAUCAAUAAUAAUUUAUAAUUUAUUAUCCAUAACCAAAAAAAUUCUCAAAACAAUUUUUCACAAAAGAAAAAUUACCAAAAUAACCGUUGACCACCAUAACUAUCAGAAAAGGCUAUCUUAUACGUUCUUAGAGCGACAUCUCAAACACUUGAAAUGUCCAUAUGCAGACAUCUUAAGCACCCAAUAAAAAAUGAACACGUGAUGUUUCAAAUGGUGCAGAUGGGCUCAAACACGUCCAAUGGAUUUCCAAAGAUGCAUCCGUGAAUGAUGUGUCGCUCCAAGAAGGCACGAGGUGACCAAAUCUGAAAGUGAGUUUUUAAUCAAUGACCAUUUUUGUAAUUUUCCGAUUUCUUAUCCUUAUUCUAACAUUGACCAAUCAAUCUCCACCGUUGAUCAAACCCAAUCGUUGACUUUCCCGAUCAAUCCAACGGCCGCCAAGCGGAAGCCGUCAACAAACUCAAAUCUUUCCACCCCAAUUUCAAACACCCGUUUUCCUCGACCAACGUAUACCCUCGCCACGGAAACAUCCCCAACAACAAACUCGCUUGCGAAGCCGGGUUACCCGCCAAAGAAACCGGCCCAAACCCGACCCGGCCCAAUUCCUCCCCCCAUUUCUCCACUUUCACUUCACCAGUCCUCUUCGGCCCACCAACCGCCACAAUAUUCUUUAUCUCACAUCCAAACAGUUGCUGCUCCACUGUAUACCGUUCCACAUUCUCCGGCUCAAUUCCGUCGCCGACGGCGUCGAACAAGGCGGAGUAGUAAUGCAACGCCUCCACAAACCGCCCGAGAAAACUCCCGCCGUGGCUCAGAUCUUGCUCGAUGAUUGUUAUCAGUUUAGGUUUUAGUACGUUUAGUAACCUUAGGGUUUCGUAAUCGCUUCCAGUGACGUCAUACAAGCAGUGAUGCAUCCAGUGCACCACCACAGAUUAUUCAGAUCUGAACUGAUAUUAUUCAGAUCUGAACAGAUGUUGCCGAUUUUACCUUCGAGAGGGACGAAUUCGAACGGAAGACCGAGAGAAUUAGCGAAAUCGUGAAGACGACGGCCGGUGGCGUUAAGGAGUUCAAUCGAAGAGCCAACGCCGGUGAUUCUAAGCGAUUUGAUUUUGCGAGGUCUGGAAGCGAGGAUGUGGAACAAUCCUGGCCACUGGAGACCUUGCAUGAUGUCUAGAUCUAUAAUAUGAACGGUUUCUUCACCUUCUAACGCUUGGAAAAUCGCUUGAUUCGCUGUGAAAUGUGAGAAUUUGAUUGACGGAGAGAUUGAAUUGUAGGAUUGAAGUGCGUUGCAUAUCUUCUGGUUUUGAGCUAGGGCUAGGGUUUUGGUUUUGAACGUGAGCGGCGUGUAAGUUCCGAUGUAUGAACUGAUGAUUCGUGCUUGUAACGCUUCGGCGAAGUACGCCGCUACACGCUCCGGCGAAGAACCGAACGGAGAUGACAGUUCUGAAAUCUCCGGUAACAGAUUGUUCGCGUGGUCUAGGUUAUCAACCGCUACGCACUCGGCGCAUUGUAGCAGUAAACCUAACAGUCUUAAACCUGAUGAUUCCGCUUCAACUGUUGUUAAUUGAUCAUCAUCAUCAUUACUCUCUUCAAUGUUCCGUCGUUUGCAGCUGCGAGAAGGAGAACCAUCACCAUCACCGGCAACAUCACCGGAACCUGCACCGGAACCUGCACCGGCACCGGAGAAGUCAAUGUUUUCUCCGGCGAAGUUGUUAUUGUUAUUGUUGAUGGUGCGUUUUGAGGUGUUGGUGUUCAUGAUUGGUGAGGAGGAGUUUGUGGGGGGUGGGGGUUGAAGGUGAAGAGAUUGAAGCAUGAUUGUUGUGGUAGUGAUGAUGGUGAUGACUGAUGGUGAUGGUGAUGGUGGUAGAGGAAUAUUAAUGGGGUUGAAGGGGAAAUUGACAAGAGAAUGAUGUGGAAAAGGACAAGAAUAUAGGUCUGAAUAAAAGUUGAAGAAGGAUGAGGAUGAGGAUGAGGAUGAAGUUGAUGUCUGUGUCAGUCAGAAGAUGAAGAAGGUGUUGAAGAAGAUCUUCAAUGGUGGAUAUUGUGAAAAAGGUGAUAAUAAUUGAGGAAGAUGAUCAAGUGUAGUGGGGAAAAGGUAGUUGGCUUUUUGAUGAUAUGGUUGUUUGCAUCCUUUUAUGUUUUUGUGGAGUUCAAGUAAGUCCUUGGUCUUUUCUACUUUGCUUAAUUUCAUAUAUAAAAACAUAAAACAUCCAAUCCAUUACUUCUUUAGUUCUUCCUAAACCUUUUUAAAACUUGCUUUCGUGUCGGAGUCGGUCGUGGGUUUAAAAUCUUGCGGCAAGACCAUA